rnacentral:rRNA from 1 species
UACGGAGGGUGCUAGCGUUGUUCGGAAUUACUGGGCGUAAAGCGCGCGUAGGCGGCUUUGUAAGUUAGAGGUGAAAGCCCGGGGCUCAACCCCGGAAUUGCCUUUAAGACUGCAUCGCUUGAAUCCGGGAGAGGUGAGUGGAAUUCCGAGUGUAGAGGUGAAAUUCGUAGAUAUUCGGAAGAACACCAGUGGCGAAGGCGGCUCACUGGACUGGUAUUGACGCUGAGGUACGAAAGCGUGGGGAGCAAACAGG